UACGUAGGGUGCAAGCGUUGUCCGGAAUUAUUGGGCGUAAAGAGCUCGUAGGCGGUUUGUUGCGUCGGCUGUGAAAUCCCGAGGCUCAACCUCGGGCCGGCAGUCGAUACGAGCAAACUAGAGUGUUGCAGGGGAGACUGGAAUUCCUGGUGUAGCGGUGAAAUGCGCAGAUAUCAGGAGGAACACCGGUGGCGAAGGCGGGUCUCUGGGCAACAACUGACGCUGAGGAGCGAAAGCGUGGGGAGCGAACAGG
rnacentral:rRNA from 1 species